rnacentral:rRNA from 1 species
ACCUGCAGCCAUAUUACCCUGCAGCUCUCAACUGGCUACCCACUGAAGCUAAGCAGGGUUGAUCCUGGUCAGUACCUGGAUAGGAGACCUCCUGGGAAGCUAUGGUUGCUGCUGAAU